ensembl:lncRNA HCG18 HLA complex group 18
GGCACGUCACUUCCGACUAGUGGAGUUUUUAGCCUUUUAACAUUCAAGGAUUAGGUAAGUUCUCCCCGCGGUAGACUUCAAAUACUCUUUGUCCUGCCCCUGCUUGGCGAAAUUUACCGAAAUUAUCUACCUAUCCCGCUGGAGUGGGAGCCGGGGGAGAGCUGGAACCGCGUCUCUGCUGCUCACCUUUGUGUCCUUAGCUCCUUCGCAUGGGGUCCGACCGCAACACGUGCGCUGGAUAAACGCUUGUUAACUGGAGCUCCCUCUUUGCCCACUAGCAGGGCAUUAGCUGGUGCUGAAGACAGUGGCUGCUUGGCGAGCCUGGAUCUCCAAGUGACCCCCUCAGCAACUCCUGAUGAACAGGUACUGUGUGCAGAAAUGUGAUUGAGAUUCAAGUCAGGGCCUCUCUGCCCUUUUCCCUCCAGAAACAAAACCAAGAUAAUUUAUCCUGAACACGGUGAAAAAAGGAAGGGAGGGAGGAGAAAAAGUCCGGGUCUCACCUGGGAUUCUCUGUCUCCUGCAACAUGAAGGAUUUAGCCUGGGAGGAGGUGGUGAGAACUCUGGGAGAGAAAAAAGAAGGAAAGAAUAGUUUUACCCAUGCUGAAGUUAAUUUAAACCUUCACCUAGAGAAGCAAAAAAAAAAAACCCACACUUUCCCAUUUUGUGCCUCCCUUCCUAGAGUUUUAGCCAAAGGUUUAGCUAAGUAAUUGGUUUUACCAGCGCACUCACUCCUCCUAUCCCAAGUCUGUUUGACUCCCUCCCCAUCAUCCUCCUCACCUCUUUUCAGGCAGGGUGGGGAUAGCAGCAGGAGGAGAUUUUGGGAGCCUGGCAACUCCUGCAAGGACCGCAGGACAGCCCCUCUGUGGGGAUGCGUGGUGCCCCAUCUGCCGCCCUUCUGAAGAAUGCACUGCCUUCACUUUUUACUGUGUUAGAGUCCAUCCAGACUGUUCUAUCCAAAAAAGUUUCUUUUUCCCCCACAGGCAAUCAGGAAAUGAUUCCUUUCCCGACUGCUUCUGUCUAGUGCCUGGGAAUCUUGAGUCAAUCCCUCAGUAAGUCAGUGACUAGGGAAAUCCCUCUCUGAGCCUCCCAGUUCAUGUUGCUUAGGGAACCUGAUAUUUUCGUGAAACCUGCCUACACAUGGGCAGCCCAACAGCAGAACAAAUGGUGGUGACCAAAGUGAACAAAGAAGUAUAGUUGUGCCAGCUUCGUAGUUGCCCAUGUGGACAAGUCAGCAGGAUCAGGACACGAGGAAGAGUAAAUGUGAGACAGUCAAUGUGACUUCUGCGAUAAACAGAUUUUUAAACCCCGAAAUUUUGCAAAAUUUUGGUGAAACCUGAACUUUCUUCGUUGCAUAUACUGGCACUAUCUGUACCAUCAUACAACUGUCUCACAUUAAAGCUAUUUUUCUUGGGCACUGAUGAGUAAGGUUGGUAUAAGUUCCUCAGAUCAACAAAAACCCAUUUUCCUGUAAGUCUUACAUUUAGUAUUUAAGGAACUAAAACUUAAAUACAUUUUGUGAAAUGGUUGACACUUCACUGAUAAUGAUUUAUUGCUUGGAUUAAUAAAUUUUCCAAAAGUUGUCUUAUGUAGAAUAUGGUUUGCAACCAGCAGAACCAUUAAUCUAUACUGCAAUGAUAUGCACUAUGUAUAAUUGUUUAAAAGCCUCUACUUAAUGAUGUAAAAUGCUCUAUUUAAUUACACAUUUGGGUAAACUGUAUACUAACAUCUGAUGGCAUUUUUCCACUGUUUGUUGCUUUUUUCAAAUACUUUAUUGUACAAAGCUGUUCUUAAUAUUUUUCAAGUUUUUUUCUUUGAAUUUUGCUAAUGUUUUCCUUGAAUUAUGAGCACUGACAGAAUGUGCUUAGCACUUUUGGCUAUUCACACAGCUUUUGAGCAUGAUUUGCAUCCAAUAUUUACAUUGCUAGCAAUAAUAAGCCAUCUGUGAGUUUUGUCAAAAGUUAUUGGGGAUUUUUUAAAUUUUAGAAAUGCAAAUUAUUGUUUCUUUGAACUAACUCUUAUGCAGUUGCAAAGGCAUUUCCAGUUGUUAUAGUUUGUGUACAAUAUCAGGUGUUCCAGAUUAUGAUUCAUUAUUAAUAUCAUUGCUUCCUUGUUCCCUCUGAGGUCCAGAAGAUUCAUGUUUACAAUAUUUAGAAACAAUGUUAAAAAGG